rnacentral:rRNA from 1 species
UAGGGAAUCUUCGGCAAUGGACGGAAGUCUGACCGAGCAACGCCGCGUGAGUGAAGAAGGUUUUCGGAUCGUAAAGCUCUGUUGUUAGAGAAGAACGUUGGUAGGAGCGGAAAAUCUACCAAGUGACGGUAACUAACCAGAAAGGGACGGCUAACUACGUGCCAGCAGCCGCGGUAAUACGUAGGUCCCGAGCGUUGUCCGGAUUUAUUGGGCGUAAAGCGAGCGCAGGCGGUUCUUUAAGUCUGAAGUUAAAGGCAGUGGCUUAACCAUUGUACGCUUUGGAAACUGGAGGACUUGAGUGCAGAAGGGGAGAGUGGAAUUCCAUGUGUAGCGGUGAAAUGCGUAGAUAUAUGGAGGAACACCGGUGGCGAAAGCGGCUCUCUGGUCUGUAACUGACGCUGAGGCUCGAAAGCGUGGGGAGCAAACAGGAUUAGAUACCCUGGUAGUCCACGCCGUAAACGAUGAGUGCUAGGUGUUAGGCCCUUUCCGGGGCUUAGUGCCGCAGCUAACGCAUUAAGCACUCCGCCUGGGGAGUACGACCGCAAGGUUG